rnacentral:ncRNA from 1 species
UUAAUAGUUUAAUAAAAUAUAUAGGUAGUGCAUGGCUGUCGUCAGUUCGUGCUGUGAAGUAUUAAUUUAAGUAUUAUAACGAACGUAACCUUUUAUAAAAAAAAUUUUUUAUAAUAUAUUUAUUAAAUAUAUAAAAAAGACUACGUCAAGUCAUUAUGCUCCUUAUAUUUUGGGCUGCUCACGUGUUACAUAAAAUAUAACAAUAUUUUAUUAUAUGAAAAUAUAAUAUAUUAAAUAUAUUUAUAGUUCUGAUUAUAAAUUGAAACUCAUUUAUAUGAAGAUGGAAUCACUAGUAAUCGCUAAUAAGAAGUAUAGCGGUGAAUAAGUUCUUAAGCUUUGUACACACCGCCCGUCACAUCUGGAAAAUAUUAUAUUAUAUAAAAAUUAUUGUAAAAUAAUAAUAUAUAAUUAUAUAAUUUAGAUGAAGUCGUAACAAGGUAGCCGUACUGGAAGGUGCGGCUGGAUAAUAACAUAA